rnacentral:rRNA from 1 species
UACGUAGGGUGCAAGCGUUGUCCGGAAUUAUUGGGCGUAAAGAGCUCGUAGGCGGUUUGUCGCGUCUGCUGUGAAAACUCGGGGCUUAACCUCGAGAUGUCGGCGGAAACCGUCUGGCUAGAGUCCGGAAGAGGAGAGUGGAAUUCCUGGUGUAGCGGUGAAAUGCGCAGAUAUCAGGAAGAACACCGGUGGCGAAGGCGGGUCUCUGGGCAACAACUGACGCUGAGGAGCGAAAGCGUGGGGAGCGAACAGG